GGAGGAUUCAAGCGUUAUCCGGAUUUAUUGGGCGUAAAGGGAGCGCAGGCGGCACGGCAAGUCCGGUGUGAAAGCCCGGGGCCCAACCCCGGGACUGCACUGGAAACUGCCGGGCUGGAGUGUCGGAGGGGCAGGCGGAAUUCCUAGUGUAGCGGUGAAAUGCGUAGAUAUUAGGAGGAACACCGGUGGCGAAGGCGGCCUGCUGGACGACGACUGACGCUGAGGCUCGAAAGCGUGGGGAGCAA
rnacentral:rRNA from 1 species